UCAACCAUCAAGCCUAGCUUGUCGUUGGACCCCUUUGUGACUGAAACAUGUGCAGGUCCGAAAGAUAAUGACGGCGUCGUGUUUGACCCUAGAUGCAACGAGCUUUUCAUAGCACGCAUUGAAGUGGUCGGCCGACCCGGUCUUAAUCAUCAUUUUCUAAGGUUGACCUCGGAUCAGGUAGGAAUACCCGCUGAACUUAA
rnacentral:misc_RNA from 1 species